rnacentral:rRNA from 2 species
GACCCGCACGAAUGGCGUAAUGAUUUGGGCACUGUCUCAACAGCAAAUCCGGCGAAAUUGUAGUGCAAGUGAAGAUGCUUGCUACCCGCGAUUGGACGGAAAGACCCCGUAGAGCUUUACUGUAGCUUAGCAUUGAAUCUCGGUAUUGUCUGUACAGGAUAGGUGGGAGACUUGGAAACUUGGGCGUCAGCCUGAGUGGAGUCAUCCUUGGGAUACCACCCUGACAGUACUGGGGUUCUAACCGGCGGCCAUGAAUCUGGUCACGGGACAUUGUUAGGUGG